GAGGGACAGAGGGAAACUAAUUUUUGCCUCAAAAAAGUGGAGGGACGGUAGGGAAACUGUGGAGGGACGGUAGGGAAACUGGUGGAGGGACGGAGGGAAACUAUUUUUCGCCCAAAAAAAGUGGAGUGACGGUAGGGAAACUGGUAGAGGGACAGAGGGAAACUAUUUUUCGCCC